rnacentral:rRNA from 1 species
GCUUUCAAGGUAGGAAGUGCUUUGGAAACUGGCGGGCUGGAGUGCAGGAGAGGUCAGCGGAAUUCCCGGUGUAGCGGUGAAAUGCGUAGAGAUCGGGAGGAACACCAGUGGCGAAGGCGGCUGACUGGACUGUAACUGACGCUGAGGCGCGAAAGUGUGGGGAGCAAACAGGAUUAGAUACCCUGGUAGUCCACACUGUAAACGAUGAAUGCUAGGUGUAGGGGGUAUCGACCCCUUCUGUGCCGGAGUCAACACAAUAAGCAUUCCGCCUGGGGAGUACGGCCGCAAGGUUGAAACUCAAAGGAAUUGACGGGGGCCCGCACAAGCAGCGGAGCAUGUGGUUUAAUUCGAAGCAACGCGAAGAACCUUACCAGGUCUUGACAUCCACUUAAACUCAUGGAGACAUGGGGUCCCUUCGGGGGAAGUGAGACAGGUGGUGCAUGGUUGUCGUCAGCUCGUGUCGUGAGAUGUUGGGUUAAGUCCCGCAACGAGCGCAACCCUUAUUUUCAGUUACUAACGCGUGACGGCGAGGACUCUGAAGAGACUGCCGGGGACAACUCGGAGGAAGGUGGGGACGACGUCAAAUCAUCAUGCCCCUUAUGACCUGGGCUACACACGUGCUACAAUGGCCACUACAAAGAGGAGCGAGCCCGUNANGGGGAGCGGAUCUGAGAAAAGUGGUCCCAGUUCAGAUUGUGGGCUGCAACCCGCCCACAUGAAGUCGGAGUUGCUAGUAAUCGCGGAUCAGCAUGCCGCGGUGAAUACGUU